rnacentral:rRNA from 1 species
GGCCGCAAGGUGCUGACGAGUGGCGAACGGGUGAGUAAUGUAUCGGAACGUGCCCAGUCGUGGGGGAUAACGCAGCGAAAGCUGCGCUAAUACCGCAUACGAUCUAUGGAUGAAAGCGGGGGACCGUAAGGCCUCGCGCGAUUGGAGCGGCCGAUAUCAGAUUAGGUAGUUGGUGGGGUAAAGGCUCACCAAGCCAACGAUCUGUAGCUGGUCUGAGAGGACGACCAGCCACACUGGGACUGAGACACGGCCCAGACUCCUACGGGAGGCAGCAGUGGGGAAUUUUGGACAAUGGGCGCAAGCCUGAUCCAGCAAUGCCGCGUGCAGGAAGAAGGCCUUCGGGUUGUAAACUGCUUUUGUACGGAACGAAACGGUCCUGGUUAAUACCUGGGGCUAAUGACGGUACCGUAAGAAUAAGCACCGGCUAACUACGUGCCAGCAGCCGCGGUAAUACGGAGGGUGCAAGCGUU